GACGAAGGUGGCGAGCGUUGUUCGGAAUCACUGGGCAUAAAGCGCGCGCAGGCGGCAUGGUAAGUAAGGUGUGAAAUCCAUCUGCUCAACGGGUGGGGUGCAUUUUAGACUGCCAAGCUUGAGGUCGGUAGAGGGGGGUGGAAUUGCUGGUGUAGCGGUGAAAUGCGUAGAGAUCAGCAGGAACACCCGUGGCGAAGGCGGCCCCCUGGGCCGUACCUGACGCUGAGGCGCGAAGGCUAGGGGAGCGAACGGG
rnacentral:rRNA from 1 species